CCUUCCAUACAAACUUGACUCACCCUAAGGAGUGAAUUACCUGAAACCACGACGACCGACGCGGACGAUCACUACGACAACAACAACAGGAACAACCAACCAACGAACCAACCAAACCAAGCCGCGAGCAAUUCAUAAUGAACAACUCACUACUGCUUCAUUUGGACGAUCAACGAACGUGCGGUCCUCGGUACCUACCUACCACCUAGUCGAAGAAACUCUGGCAUUGCCCCUCGCUCGACCGCACAUGGUUGGAUGGAACUACUACUGCUGCUGCUGCUGUGAAGUUGAAGCGCGAAACUCAGUAGCAUUUCGGCGGUUGAUGGCGAGACGCGUCGCGAAGCGGCAGUAGUUUUGGAUCACAGUCAGUGCACUCGUUGGACCCCUUGGAAAACAGGGCCGUCGUACCGCUUACUAGCCUAUAUUUAAUUUUCGUGAUAACAGCAACUACACACAUUGAUCGAACUAUAACAGCACUUUAUUUACGAAACGAUUCCGGAGCUGUGAGUUCAACAUAGGCGAGCGCGUGUUUUCGUUAAAUUUAGUGGGUUGAACAGCGGAACAGAAAAGGGUUCUUUCCAUGUAUUUCAAUCAUCAGUGACUCGGUUUUAUCACACCUUUGGCCUGCAACGUUGCGAAUGGCAGUGGGAUAGUAGUGUGUUUGUGAGUGGGGAGGGGGCGCGGAGAAGUCCAGCUCAGACAGUGUUCUUAUCAGUGAACGGAAUUUUGUUUUCGGAGUGUGUGGCCGAAGUUCCCGAGGAACCUUCUCGGCUCCAGUUGAGGCGAAGAGAGUUAAAAUUGAUUAGUGUCUAUUAGGAGCGGUGAAUCCCAGCUGAUUGAUCAUCAAUUUCAGUGAGAGAGAGAAAAAAAUAAACGGGAAUCCCGUCAGCACAUACGAAACAACAAAAAAUCGUUACAUAACAACAUCGAAGGAAGCAAAAAGAAACCGUCAGUGCAUCCCAGAAGGAAAGGAAAUACAGGAAAAGCAAUAAAAGUUAACCGAAACCGGUGAUCAAGUGUGCGCGUAUUGGGGAAAAUAUAAAACAGAAAGAAGUACCUACCAACACGGAAUGUCUUCAUCGGUGAAAGAUCGUCGCACG